rnacentral:lncRNA from 1 species
GCAUUUGGGUUUUACUUUCUGUUGCCUCUUUAUGAUUAUCCAAACACCGAGGACAAGAAAUAUUCAAAAGACACCAGAGGCCACAGAAAAGGGCUUCUUGGAUGUGAUUGUUGUUCACCAGAUGGCUUAAGCAUUUGGACUUGAUCGUGUCUGCAUUUUGGUUCUUCUCCUUGUCUUCUCAGAAAAUCUACUUUCCGAGUAAAGGGGUAUUCCAAAUAACCGAUGGCUAAACUGCAAACCUGCCAACAAAUUUAAGAAGUAAAAAGGUGAUAAACACUCUGAUUGGACUGCUUUAUGCUGGUUUAGUCAAGCCUCUAAACUCCUAUGUGCAUUUGGGUUCUGCUGUGUGUUGCCUGUUUGUUUAAAAACGAGGCCCGUUAAAAUGAGAGCUGUAUGUUAAUGAUUGGUUAGGGUUUGCUGCAUUUGUCUGUGAUAAACCUCUGCACUUGAACAUGUCUGCUUUUGGGUUAUUUUCCUUGCGGCCCAUUAUUCCAACCCCAUUACCAGUACAAAUUUCUCUGAGGAAGUUGGAACCAAUGAUCUGUAUCUUAACCGCUUAAGCAUUUCCAAACCACACCUCAUUUUCCUCCUUGAGCACAUUUGAGCGGUUUUGGCGUCUGUCUUUGUUGUCCUAUUUGUUCUUGUUCACAUGUUGGCUCGUCGGUUUAUCGUCACACGGGGGUUUGUCUGUCUGACUAUGCAAAUUUUAAACAGAGCUUCCUCAUUUAUUCAUCCCUCCCAAACAGCAUUCUUAUUUUUGCCUCGUCUUCUCCCUAACCUCGAGUUCGCUAUCCUUUUAUCCUUUUCUGAGAGUUUUAUUCUAAAAGGAGAUUCUGCCAUUUUGGAGAGGAUGCAGAGAAACUGUAUGAAUACAAAUGUGCUGCUGAGGUUGGAAACUUUUUAAGGGUCUUUGAAUACAAAGUACCAACAAUGUUAAAGGACUCAGUGACAUGAGUAUAUCGCAAACUCUGACUUCUGUUUGGCCCAUUUCUCUUGAAUAUGACUAACUUUGCCAGGAGGGUCCUAAAAUACUCAACCGAUCCCCCGUAACUUCCGACGUUCUUCAUCUUUUGUCAGCUCAUUCCUCUAUUCCUUUUUCUUUCAAUCUCUCCCUCUCUCUGUCUCUCUCGCUCUCUCUCAGGCCCCAGCCAUCUGCUCUGUGUGCCCUGACGUGUGCAUGAGCACCCAUGAGAAGCCCAGUGGAAGUAAUCGUCUGUUACCGCUCAGGCUUCAACAUGUUGUCUGCCCACUGCACAUACCUCUUUAGCUCCCUACAAACCCACGAUGCCACGGUGCCAAAGAAGUGAGGCCACUAGCAUUCUCUUAUAUAAUGGCUGUGAACGCUCUCUAUCUCUCUCUCUUUGCACCUGGUGCACACUCCGGCAUCUUCUCGGAUUCCUUUCCGCCUCCUUAUUCGCUCGUUUUUACUUUUUUGUACUAAUUGCAUCAGUCAGUUUGGGUUGUAUUAGCAUGCAGGAGGCCCGUAUUAGUCCGCUGAAUUUCAAUUUCCUGUAAUAUAAGUGCAUGCAAAGACAUCCUCAUUGCAAAAGCACACAGAGUACAAAAGAGAACAGAGUUAGAAGUGGAGGCAGAUUGAAUGUUAUCUAAGGUGGUGAUUUGUUUUCACUCUGUGUUGCUUGUGGCAGCAGGAUGCAAACUGAGCCUCUAGUCCUGCAGUGUGUUUUUCACUCUGAAGUCACGUCUAAAGGCCAAAGUGCUGACUUUAACCCUUCACAUUUCGCCAAGGAAGUUUCUCUGGUUCAGCUGAGUUUCUUUCACGAGUGCGUUUAGCUAAAUAAAAAGUAGAUUAAGUCCCACAGUCCCUCUCUUUCACUCCUCUCCUCUCUUUCCUCUGGUAUAAUUGGCAAUAAUGAGCGCAAUCUUUCUUACAAACAAUAACCUGUCCUUUGAAAAAGCACACUCCCUCACUCUCCAGAAGGAAAACCACAGAGGCAGACUGGUUAUUGUUUACAGCAGGGCCUCAAUCUGCAUGUGGGGAGGUAUGCUGGGUUAAUUCAUUAUUUCCUUUAGCUGUCAUAAAAAUAUGGAUUGCCCUUCCAUGGAGCUGCAGCUGGCGCCUUUACAUAGAGAGAGUGGAGUGAGUGUGUGUGUGUGUGUGUGGGGGGGGGGGGGGGGGGUACUCUGUGAUAGGAGAACUGCGCUUCAACAACGUGACUGAAUCCCGAAAACAGGAGAGAGAGCGAGCGAGAGAGGGAGUCAGGGGGAAGUGGGGGGUGAGAGGAGAUGUAAAUUCAUUUGGAUCUCCCGAUUACGUUCAAUGGAGGCAACACAAUACAAGUGCGACCCCUACUGGUGCAAUAUCGGCCUGCCUUUCACUCUUGGUUAAGACGCUUUCUAAAUUGUAAAACAUUUUUUUUCUAGGACAAAGCCUGAGUAGACUUUCUAUCGCUUUUAAAGAGGUAGAUUUGGCCUCAAAUUAUGCUAAAUAUAAUGAGAUAUCCAGCUUCGUUUUUUCUCUCUCUCUCUCUCUCCCUCUCUGUGAGAUCUCUCCAACGCAGCGCGAUUGGAGCACUGUUCGUCCUGGUUUGGGAUGGAGAAGAAGAGUGGGAAGUUGGACCAACCAGUGGCGCAAGCAAAACCCUGCAGUGUGGUAUCCAACAAGAAGGGGGGAAAGCAGCAGAAGCGCACCCUUCUUUUACUUUACAGUGCCUUCAGUGAAAAGCAUUUUUGGUGAUUCAACGCGUCUGGUAACGGGGCUGUGGGUGCGUUUAUCCAAACACCUAAGGGGGCACGUUCCCUUGAAUCAAACCUUUACAGCCAAAUUUGAAGUCCAGAUUAUCUUUGAUGACCUAACGCACGAUUAGCGGAAUUUGUCCGGUUAAGAGAUGUACACUGAUGCGCUUCGGAGAAGCAUGCGCUGCGCUCACUGCGCAAGCCUUCUCAUCUGAAUUAUGAGGAAAUUCUUAUACUUGACGUAAGAGCUGACAGAGGGAACCUAACAGGUAUUGUCUGCGUCUUAUACUAUCCAUUACGCAUCGUUUGAGCCCCACUUGAUCGUGUUUUAGGGACCGAUUCGCUCUCCGUGAUGUAAGUGCCGCACUUUGGAUGAGGGACUCCUGUGGAUAACCCGCUGGUCAGGAAAGAGGGGGGUAUGAAUGAAGAAACGCUGCAGGACCACCAGAGUCUAAACUGAACCGAUAAAAAUAUAUAUACAACAUACUUACAGCAUCUCCCUUCCACUGAGCUCCAAAACAGCGGUGCGAGAUGACAUUGCAACAGUCCCCUCUCUCCUCGCAGAAACCAUGCAGCCUCUGAUGGGGAUCACACUCACAAACACUGCAACAACAGGACGGGGGGUAUGAAAUAUCACCGAAUCUCAGGCGAUUAAAUAUUCCCACCGUGUCCGAGAAGAGAAAAAAAAUCUGAAUGAAAUCCCCCGCGUUGACACUUCACACGCGCGCAGCAGCGAAUAAAAUUCACUGUUGUUGUAAUCCAAUCUUCAUUGUGUGUGUGCGCCUGCCGCUGCUGCCGCUGCUGCUGCUGCUGCUGCUUCUUCUCCACUGCAAUCUCUGCUGGCCCCGCGCAUUGUGGGGGGCUCAACCUGCCUCUGUGUGAUUACAGCUCCCGGUAUCCCGUUAUUCCUGUCCCGGGUAGAGGAGAGCAAGAGGCAGGUGAGCAGCCGCCGGACGCACACAUAGACGCACACGCACGUUAACUACUACAGUAGAAGCUCCGGCAGCCUGCAAACCGAGCAUGGGACCCAACGUCUCUCUCUCUCUCUCUCACUCUCUCUCUCUCUCCC